GUUGCGGGAAUGGGCCACUACCUCGCAGUCACGUGAUAUCGGAAUGCAAUGAUCUACGUUAAAUUGUGUUUCUUUUUGAAUAGUUCAUGUGAUGUGACGUAGUGGAACAUUCCUGGCG
rfam:Drosophila persimilis strain MSH-3 cont1.001368, whole genome shotgun sequence.